rnacentral:tRNA from 1 species
GGGGCUGUAGCUUAGUUGGUAGAGCGUCUGCUUUGCACGCAGAAGGUCAGGAGUUCGAAUCUCCUCAGCUCCACCA